GAAUGAGUGGAGUAGAGAGCUCUGUGUUGGUCUUCUGGAACUACAGGUUCGACCAUUCCUGAUAUGUUGUUGCAAUGGAAUAUCGGUUGGUUGAACUUCUCAUCAUGUACAUACAGCAAGGGCAUAUCAAAGGCUAUGAAGUUCCCAAUAGGUUUACUUGCAACGAAAACCAUGCGGAUAUUCGACAAGUAAAUAGUCCCCUUUGCUUUGACACGGCCGCCAUGAUCCCCGCCGGGGAUCUUGUCGACCUCGAAUUCAACCCCGUCCCUCGCCAGCACGAACAUCUCACCGACGAAGGGGACGGGCAAGCCGUUG
rnacentral:misc_RNA from 1 species